UUAUUAUACCUUACAAAAAAUCACAGCGCAAAAAAGUUUUGUCAUUUUAUAUUAUGAGUUAUUAAUUUAGCUCAUUGUCUGUCCUUCAAAGACUAAAUCUGUCUCUCAUGGUCUGUGUGCUUCUCAUUGAGCUUUAAUGACCUUGUCAGCUGAUUGCAAGGGCAUAUUCACUACAGCUUAAUGGUUAGAUAUUAAGAAAUGGCCCAAAGGCUUGUGCUUAUGUGUGUUUUUUGAAGUUUACUGGAUAAGACAGGUCAGAGAGAAGGGUUUGAAGGUUGUAAGUUGCAAAACAUGCACACCCUCUCUCUCCCCUCCAUUUAGCUCUACCUGAUUUGUCAUUUGUUCCAUCUGAAACAGUUCCACCAUCAGACAGUAAAGAGCUCUGCAAACGCUCAAACUCUUCUCUGGAUAGUUGUGAUAUUUUCAACUUUGAGAACUUGAGACCCUGUACCACUGAUACUGUAACCAUGGGAUUGGAAACAACGGAAUAUACAGAUGAUGAUUUUAACUAUGAUUAUGAGUCCAUUAGAAGAGGAGGGCUGAUCUUUGCAGCUGUUUUGUUCUGUCUGGGCAUGUUUAUCAUAUUCAG